rnacentral:rRNA from 1 species
AGGGAGUUUGAUCCUGGCUCAGGAUGAACGCUGGCGGCGUGCCUAACACAUGCAAGUCGAACGAAGCGUCCCGCCCGAAGAGAAGGAGUGCUUGCACAAUUUUAAUUCAAUUGGGAUGACUUAGUGGCGGACGGGUGAGUAACGCGUGGGUAACCUGCCUUAUACAGGGGGAUAACAGUUAGAAAUGACUGCUAAUACCGCAUAAGCGCACAGAAUCGCAUGAUACAGUGUGAAAAGCCGAGACGGUAUAAGAUGGACCCGCGUCUGAUUAGCCAGUUGGCAGGGUAACGGCCUACCAAAGCGACGAUCAGUAGCCGGCCUGAGAGGGUGAACGGCCACAUUGGGACUGAGACACGGCCCAAACUCCUACGGGAGGCAGCAGUGGGGGAUAUUGCACAAUGGGGGAAACCCUGAUGCAGCGACGCCGCGUGAGCGAAGAAGUAUUUCGGUAUGUAAAGCUCUAUCAGCAGGGAAGAAAAUGACGGUACCUGACUAAGAAGCUCCGGCUAAAUACGUGCCAGCAGCCGCGGUAAUACGUAUGGAGCAAGCGUUAUCCGGAUUUACUGGGUGUAAAGGGAGCGUAGACGGUUUGCCAAGUCUGAUGUGAAAGGUGAGGGCUCAACCCUUAAACUGCAUUGGAAACUGGUAGACUAGAGUGUCGGAGAGGUAAGUGGAAUUCCUAGUGUAGCGGUGAAAUGCGUAGAUAUUAGGAGGAACACCAGCGGCGAAGGCGGCUUACUGGACGAUAACUGACGUUGAGGCUCGAAAGCGUGGGGAGCAAACAGGAUUAGAUACCCUGGUAGUCCCCU